rnacentral:rRNA from 1 species
UACGUAGGGGGCGAGCGUUGUCCGGAAUCAUUGGGCGUAAAGCGCGUGUAGGCGGUCCGGUAAGUCCGCUGUGAAAGUCGGGGGCUCAACCCUCGGAUGCCGGUGGAUACUGUCGGGCUUGAGUACGGAAGAGGCGAGUGGAAUUCCUGGUGUAGCGGUGAAAUGCGCAGAUAUCAGGAGGAGCACCAAUUGCGAAGGCAGCUCGCUGGGACGUUACUGACGCUGAGACGCGAAAGCGUGGGGAGCAAACAGG